rnacentral:rRNA from 1 species
ACCGGUGCCGAUGACGCUCAGGACCCACCCGUUCCCAUCCCGAACACGGAAGUUAAGCUGAGUUGUGCCGAAGAUACUUGAUUGGAGACGAUCCGGGAAAAUAGGUAGGUGCCGGUU